rnacentral:rRNA from 1 species
CGGUACAUCGGUGACAGGUGGUGCAUGGUUGUCGUCAGCUCGUGUCGUGAGAUGUUGGGUUAAGUCCCGCAACGAGCGCAACCCCUAUUGUUAGUUGCCAUCAUUCAGUUGGGCACUCUAGCGAGACUGCCGGUAAUAAACCGGAGGAAGGUGGGAUGACGUCAAAUCAUCAUGCCCCUUAUGACCUGGGCUACACACGUGCUACAAUGGUUGGUACAACGAGUUGCGAGUCGGUGACGGCGAGCUAAUCUCUUAAAGCCAAUCUCAGUUCGGAUUGUAGGCUGCAACUCGCCUACAUGAAGUCGGAAUCGCUAGUAAUCGCGGAUCAGCAUGCCACGGUGAAUACGUUCCCGGGCCUU